rnacentral:rRNA from 3 species
UACGUAGGGUGCGAGCGUUAAUCGGAAUUACUGGGCGUAAAGCGUGCGCAGGCGGCUUCGCAAGUCAGACGUGAAAUCCCCGGGCUUAACCUGGGAAUGGCGUUUGAAACUACGGAGCUGGAGUGUGGCAGAGGGAGGUAGAAUUCCACGUGUAGCGGUGAAAUGCGUAGAUAUGUGGAGGAAUACCGAUGGCGAAGGCAGCCUCCUGGGCCAACACUGACGCUCAUGCACGAAAGCGUGGGGAGCAAACAGG